rnacentral:rRNA from 1 species
AGAGUUUGAUCAUGGCUCAGGACGAACGCUGGCGGCGUGCCUAAUACAUGCAAGUCGAGCGGGACUCUUCGGAGUCCAGCGGCGGACGGGUGAGUAACACGUGGGCAACCUGCCUGUAAGACUGGGAUAACACCGGGAAACCGGUGCUAAUACCGGAUAAUCCUUUUCCUCUCAUGAGGGAAAGCUGAAAGACGGCGUAA